rnacentral:rRNA from 1 species
UAAAAUUUAUAAAAUUAGGUAGUAAAGAAAUUUCUGAAACCUAAAGAAUUUGGCGGUAUUUUAAAUAGUUGGAGGAACCUGUUAUUUAAUUGACAACCCACAACAUAUCUCACCUAAAUUUUAUUUGUAUAUCGUCGUUUUGAUAAUAUUUAAAAAUUAUAAUCAAGGGCAAUAAAUUUUUUAAAAUCAGAUCAAGGUGCAGUAUAUUUAGGUUAUAAUGGGUUACAAUAUAAAUAUUAUAUUAUGGAUAUAAAUUUGAAAAUAUAUUUGAAGGUGGAUUCAAAAGUAAUGUUAAAUUAAAAUGUUAACUUGAUUAAAAAUUUAAAAUAUGC